rnacentral:rRNA from 1 species
CGCAAACCGACACAGGUAGAUAGGAAGAAGAUUCUAAGGCCAGCGGGAGAAGGGUUGUUAAGGAACUCGGCAAGUUGACCCCGUAACUUCGGGAGAAGGGGUGCUUACGAAGGUAAGCCGCAGAGAAUAGGCCCAAGCGACUGUUUAGCAAAAACACAGCUCUAUGCUAAAUCGAAAGAUGACGUAUAUGGGGUGACACCUGCCCGGUGCUGGAAGGUUAAGAGGAGAUGUGAGAGCAUUGAAUUGAAGCCCCAGUAAACGGCGGCCGUAACAAUAACGGUCCUAAGGUAGCGAAAUUCCUUGUCAGGUAAGUUCUGACCCGCACGAAUGGUGUAACGAUUUGGGCACUGUCUCAACAACCUACCCGGCGAAAUUGUAGUAUCGGUGAAGAUGCCGGUUACCCGCGACUAGACGGAAAGACCCCAUGGAGCUUCACUGUAGCUUAAUAUUGAAUUUUGGUAUUUCAUGUACAGGAUAGGUGGGAGACUGGGAAAUACAGGCGUCAGCUUGUAUGGAGUCACUGUUGGGAUACCACUCUUGAGGUGCUGAAAUUCUAACCUGCGUCUUUGAAUCAAGACGGGGGACAUUGUUAGGUGGGCAGUUUGACUGGGGCGGUCGCCUCCAAAAGAGUAACGGAGGCGCUCAAAGGUUCGCUCAGCAUGGACGGAAACCAUGCCAAAGAGUGCAAACGCAAAAGCGAGCCUAACUGCGAGACUGACGGGUCGAGCAGUAACGAAAGUUGGAGUUAGUGAUCCGGCGGUAUGUGAGUGGAAAUGCCGUCGCUCAACGGAUAAAAGCUACCCUGGGGAUAACAGGCUGAUCUCCCCCAAGAGUCCACAUCGACGGGGAGGUUUGGCACCUCGAUGUCGGCUCAUCGCAUCCUGGGGCUGAAUUCGGUCCCAAGGGUUUGGCUGUUCGCCAAUUAAAGCGGUACGCGAGCUGGGUUCAGAACGUCGUGAGACAGUUCGGUCCCUAUCUGUCGUGGGCGUAGGAUAUUUGAAAGGAGCUGUCCCUAGUACGAGAGGACCGGGAUGGACGCACCUCUGGUGAACCAGUUGUCACGCCAGUGGCACGGCUGGGCAGCUAAGUGCGGAACGGAUAAACGCUGAAAGCAUCUAAGCGUGAAGCCGACCUUAAGAUAAGAUAUCCGUUCUUCGGAAUAAGACCCCUUGUAGACUACGAGGUUGAUAGGCUUAAAGUGUAAGCAUGGUGACAUGUUUAGCUAGCAAGUACUAAUCGGUCGAUUGCUUUUUCA